UACGUAGGCAGCAAGCGUUGUUCGGAGUUACUGGCGUAAAGGGUGCGUAGGCGGUUGUUUAAGUUUGGUGUGAAAUCUCCCGGCUCAACUGGGAGGGUGCGCCGAAUACUGAAUGACUUGGAGUGCGGGAGAGGUGAGUGGAAUUCCUGGUGUAGCGGUGAAAUGCGUAGAUAUCAGGAGGAACACCGGUGGUGUAGACGGCUCACUGGACCGUAACUGACGCUGAGACACGAAGCGUGGGUAGCAAACAGG
rnacentral:rRNA from 1 species